rnacentral:rRNA from 1 species
UGUCUUGUAAUUGGAAUGAUGGGAAUUUAAACCUCUUCCAGAGUAUCAAUUGGAGGGCAAGUCUGGUGCCAGCAGCCGCGGUAAUUCCAGCUCCAAUAGCGUAUAUUAAAAUUGUUGCAGUUAAAAAGCUCGUAGUUGAAUUUCUGCUGCAUUGCUUUUGCUCCUUUACGAGUCUUUGCAUUGUGGCUUAUUUCGGACUUUGUUUUACAAUGUCCGGAUGUUUACUUUGAGAAAAUUAGAGUGCUCAAAGCAGGCUUUCGCCUUGAAUAGUUUAGCAUGGAAUAAUAAAGUAGGACUUUGGUUCUAUUUUGUUGGUUUUAGGUACCAAAGUAAUGGUUAAUAGGAACAGUUGGGGGCAUUCGUAUUUAACUGUCAGAGGUGAAAUUCUUAGAUUUGUUAAAGACGAACUACUGCGAAAGCAUUUGCCAAGGAUGUUUUCAUUAAUCAAGAACGAAAGUUAGGGGAUCGAAGACGAUCAGAUACCGUCGUAGUCCUACCA